GAGAAGGCGAGAUAUGCGCACGCGCACACGGAGAGAGGAAAAAUCAGCGAGCGCGGUAACGGACUAUAAUCUUACAAAGAAAUAAUUAUUCGCGGGUAGAUCCAAUUCUAGUAGUUUGCCUUCGUUCGUUCAGAUUUGAACGAGAUUAUUCUUACUACUGCUCUUCUAUUCUACAGGUUGAAGGUUAAGAAAACAAUUACAUUUAUCUAGAUUAAUUAUUAAUUCGAAUAAGAAAAUCUAAAUUAAGAAUGAAUUCGAUGAAAAUACUACGUAUGAAACAUAAAUGUAUUAUGAAGAAAUGCGGCGUUUUCGAUGGAAAAAUGUUGGCCGAAUCGAGCAGAGAACAGAGAAUAUGUUGUAUGCUAGCGUGGAUGGACGGAACGACACAGACAAUUAUGCCGAAUGGAAGAGCACGCCUCACUAAGCGGAACUAAACGAGAACGGUACAUCUUACGAUCUGUUGCAAAAAAUUCCGAACCGUUUCACGCUACUCGUUUACAGAGAUCAUUCUUGUGGGAUAUGAAUAAAAUAAGAGCAGAAAAUUUUCAAGAUGCAAAGAAAAAACUUUUAAAGACAAUAAUCUACAAUCUAAAUAUUAGAUAAAACGUUAUCUAUACGGAAAAUCUUAUCUUGCUUUGAAGAGUGUGAUUAUUGUUAUCCAAAGUGAAAAAUAAUUGUACCGCACAAAAAUCAUAAAUCAUAAAUCCGAGAAAUCUAUGUGAUACGAAAUGAAUUCAUUUGCAUCGUUAACACAAUAUUUUAUAAUUUGUUUUGAGAUUUGUUCUAUUAAAUUAAAUAAAUAC